rnacentral:rRNA from 1 species
UGCUGGAGGUAUCAGAAGUGCGAAUGCUGACAUAAGUAACGAUAAAGCGGGUGAAAAGCCCGCUCGCCGGAAGACCAAGGGUUCCUGUCCAACGUUAAUCGGGGCAGGGUGAGUCGACCCCUAAGGCGAGGCCGAAAGGCGUAGUCGAUGGGAAACGGGUUAAUAUUCCCGUACUUGGUGUUACUGCGAAGGGGGGACGGAGAAGGCUAUGUUGGCCGGGCGACGGUUGUCCCGGUUUAAGCGUGUAGGCUGGUUUUCCAGGCAAAUCCGGAAAAUCAAGGCUGAGGCGUGAUGACGAGGCACUACGGUGCUGAAGCAACAAAUGCCCUGCUUCCAGGAAAAGCCUCUAAGCAUCAGGUAACAUCAAAUCGUACCCCAAACCGACACAGGUGGUCAGGUAGAGAAUACCAAGGCGCUUGAGAGAACUCGGGUGAAGGAACUAGGCAAAAUGGUGCCGUAACUUCGGGAGAAGGCACGCUGACACGUAGGUGAAGUGAUUUACUCA